rnacentral:rRNA from 1 species
GACGAACGCUGGCGGCGUGCUUAACACAUGCAAGUCGAGCGGUAAGGCCCUUUCGGGGGUACACGAGCGGCGAACGGGUGAGUAACACGUGGGUGACCUGCCCUCAGCUCUGGGAUAAGCCUGGGAAACUGGGUCUAAUACUGGAUAUGACUCCACGGUGCAUGUCGUGGGGUGGAAAGCCUUGUGCGGCUGAGGAUGGGCCCGCGGCCUAUCAGCUUGUUGGUGGGGNGAUGGCCUACCAAGGCGACGACGGGUAGCCGGCCUGAGAGGGCGACCGGCCACACUGGGACUGAGACACGGCCCAGACUCCUACGGGAGGCAGCAGUGGGGAAUCUUGCGCAAUGGGCGAAAGCCUGACGCAGCGACGCCGCGUGAGUGAUGAAGGCC